rnacentral:rRNA from 1 species
UACGAAGGGGGGCUAGCGUUGUUCGGAAUUACUGGGCGUAAAGGGCGCGUAGGCGGUGUGUCAAGUCAGGCGUGAAAGCCCCGGGCUCAACCUGGGAACAGCGCUUGAGACUGGCACGCUCGAGUUCGGGAGAGGAUGGUGGAAUUCCCAGUGUAGAGGUGAAAUGCGCAGAUAUCGGGAGGAACACCAAUGGCGAAGGCAGCUCGGCUGGGACGUUACUGACGCUGAGACGCGAAAGCGUGGGGAGCAAACAGG